rnacentral:misc_RNA from 1 species
UGUCGCUCUUUUAGGCGCGACAAAAUAGCCCAAUUUCUCCGCACCCCCUCUAAAGCCAAAAACCCUUGGAUUCAUAAAUCGUUAGGGAAUUUGGCGGUGUUGGCACGGCAUUUGAUUCUAUGGGACCCGGCUGGUGCCCGUGGAGUGAUCUUUCUUCGCGCGGUGACCCUCAGUCGAGAACGCCCGGUCCGUACGACCGGGCCCAAGCGGGGAACUACCCAUGAAAAUUGUUAUGGCCAUCAUCAAGCCAUUCAAG